AAAAAAAAAAUUAAUAUGACCAGGUUCCUUUCCUCAUGGGGGCCAGGUGUGCAAUGGCUGCGAACAGCAACCUCCUUGGUAGUGUAUGUAGCCUGUUGCAUGGGCUGCUCUAAGAGACCUUUGAGACAGUU
ensembl:snoRNA SNORA70 Small nucleolar RNA SNORA70